CUCCUCAUCACAAACAUGAGUGUGAUCUGCGUCCUCAUCUGGACUCUCCUCUGCUGCUGCUUCACAGAGUCCAGAGGCCAGGUCACGGUGACUCAGUCUGCAGCAGUCAGCUCUGCUGUGGGACAAACCGUCACCAUCACAUGUAGGAUCAGUCAGGAUGUCUACAAGUCCAACUAUUUAGCCUGGUACCAACAGAAAGAUGGACAACCUCCUAAACUGCUUAUUUACUACACCAGCACUCUACAGUCAGGGACUCCAGAUCGUUUUACAGGCAGUGGAUCAAACUCUGACUUCACUCUGACCAUCAGCUGUGUUCAAGCUGAAGAUGCUUCAGUUUAUUACUGUCAGAGUCUCCAUUAUAUCGACAGUCAGUGGGUGUACACGUUCGGUGGAGGAACCAGACUGGAUGUUGGAAGUGACAGGCCCCCCACCCUGACGGUGCUGCCCCCCUCCAGAGAGGAGCUGCAGCAGGGGAAGGCCACGCUCAUGUGCCUGGCCAACAAGGGCUUCCCCUCAGGCUGGAGUCUGAGCUGGAAGGUGGAGGACAGCAGCAGCAGCAGCAGCUGGGAGGAGAGCAGGAGCCCCGGGGUGCUGCAGAAGGACGGCCUCUACAGCUGGAGCAGCACCCUGAGGCUCCCUGCAGACCAGUGGAGGAAGGUGGGCUCUGUGACCUGUGAGGCCACCCAGGGCUCCCAGACUCCCCUCAGAGAGACACUGAGGAGAGACCAGUGUUCCCAGUCCUGACCGGACUCACUGGGACUCUCACACUGCUUUGACUCUCACACUCAUCUCACCUCUGUCAUUCACUCUCUUUCACUUUCUUCUAUCAUCAAACCAAACUCUCUUCAUCAAUAUUCAUCUUCUUUCAUCAUGAUUUUCUUCCAGCUCUGACAAAAUAAACACUCUUUUCAUGUCAA